rnacentral:rRNA from 1 species
AUGUCAAUUAGGAAAAAUGUUAGAUUUCCCUUUCCAGAUUCACCGCAUGUUUCCUAUUUUCCAUUUCAACUUGUACAUUGUGAUGUCUGGACAUCGCCUAUCUUAAGUGCAUCAGGUUUCCGUUAUUACUUGUUGCUUCUCGAUGACUACAGCCACUUCUCUUGGACAUUUCCCUUGCGCUACAAAUCAGAUGCCUUUGCUGCUAUCCAACGUUUUCGUGCGCUAGUUCAGACACACUUCAACCUGCCGAUCCUUACUCUACAAGCUGACAACGGACGAGAGUUCGACAGCCAUGCCGCCCGCGCCUUCUUCGAUACCUAUGGCAUCGCGUUUCGCAUGUCUUGCCCUUACACGUCUGCGCAAAACGGGCGUGCCGAGCGCAUGCUCCGCACCCUAAACGAGACUGUCCGUGCCCUGCUCACCCAAGCGUCCAUGCCGCCCAUGUUCUGGGCCGAAGCUCUCGCCACGGCCACCUUCCUUCACAACCGUCGCCCGUGCCGUGUUCGCCAGUACCUUACUCCUGAGCUUUUGUACUGCGCCUCUCCCGAUUACAGUGGCAUCCGCGUCUUCGGAUGCCUCUGCUACUCGAACACCAGCGCCACUACCGCCCACAAGCUUGCGCCGCGCUCUGUUGCCUGCGUAUUCCUCGGCUACUCGUCGGAGCACAAGGGCUACCGGUGCCUCAACCGCGCCACCGGCCGCGUGCUCAUCUCCCGCCAUGUUUACUUCAACGAGGAACAAUUCCCCUUCGCCUCC